rnacentral:rRNA from 1 species
CACGUAGGGCGCAAGCGUUGUCCGGAAUUAUUGGGCGUAAAGAGCUCGUAGGCGGUCUGUUGCGUCCGCUGUGAAAACUCGGGGCUUAACCCCGAGCCUGCAGUGGAUACGGGCAGACUAGAGGUAGGUAGGGGGAGAAUGGAAUUCCCGGUGUAGCGGUGAAAUGCGCAGAUAUCGGGAGGAACACCGGUGGCGAAGGCAGGUCUCUGGGCCACUACUGACGCUGAGAAGCGAAAGCAUGGGGAGCGAACAGG